CCCACUAUGCCUAGCCCUAAACAUAAAUAUUUUUUGAUAUUAUUAAUAUUCGCCAGGGGACAACGAGCUUAAGCUUAGAACCCAAAGGACUUGGCGGUGCUUUAGACCCCCCUAGAGGAGCCUGUUCUAGAACCGAUACUCCCCGUUAAACCUCACCCUCCCUUGUUCAUCCCGCCUAUAUACCGCCGUCGUCAGCUUACCCUGUGAGGGACCAACAGUAAGCAAAAUUGGUAAAGCCCAAAACGUCAGGCCGAGGUGUAGCGCACGAGAGGGGAAGAAAUGGGCUACAUUUGCUGAGCCAGCAAAUCACGGAUGAUGGACUGAAACUACAUCUAAAGGAGGAUUUAGUAGUAAGAGAAGAAUAGAGU
rnacentral:rRNA from 1 species